AAUAGGUUAUAAGUACUGUAAAGGAAAUUUUGAAAUAUGGGUGAAAAAUAAACAUAAAAAUAGUACUUAUUAGCAAGGGUACCUUUUGUAUCAGUGGUUAUCAAAAUUUUAAUGUAUAACAAUUUCUCGAAAAUAAAAGAUUUAUAAGUAUUAUUUAGUUUUUGUGUCAAUAAAAUUGAAAAAAUACUUAUAGGGGUUAUAUACUAAUCGCUUUUAUUAAUAUCUAGUUACUUUUGAAACAAAUUUAGUUUGAAAAAUAGAGGAUUUUUUUAUUUUUGAAAACAGUCUAGAAAUUUUUUUAUCUUUUAGGGGAUGAGCUCUAAAAGAAACUUAUAAAAUGUAAAUUUUCUUAUUUUGAAAUAGGCUUAGAAUUAGCUACUGGAAAGUGUAAUUACUUUUAUUGGCAAGGUUAGAAUUUAACAUUUUUUUCAUAAUAAAAAAAGUAAAACUUAAAAUUUAAAAUUCGUUGGUAAAAUGAUAAUAUAAGUAGAUAUGAUUAUGGGGGAUGAGUUUUGAAUCUUCCUUUUUAUUUUUUGAUAAAUAUAGUAAUAAAAGAACUCGGCAAAUAACAUUUUCGAAUGUUUAACAAAAACAUUUCCUUCUUGUUAAGAAGGUAAGGCCUGCUCACUGAAAAUUAAAGAGCCGCAGUAUUUUGACUGUGCUAAGGUAGCAUAAUCAUUAGUCUUUUAAUUGGAGACUGGUAUGAAUGGCUAAACGAAAAAUGAACUUUUUUUGUUACUAAGAUUGAAUUUAACUUUUAAGUGAAAAGGCUUAAAUAGUUCAGAAAGACGAGAAGACCCUAUAGAGUUUAAUAUGUUAAGAAUAUAGAUUUUUUAGAUUUUUUUAAUUUAUGUUUACGGUUCGUAUUUUGUUGGGGCGACAUUAAGAUAAGAGUAACUCUUGAUAUUAAAAACUUCAAUAGAAGUUUAUUUGAUCCUUUAAAAAAGAUUACAAGGAAAAAUUACCUUAGGGAUAACAGCGUAAUCUUUUUUGAGAGUUCUAAUCGACAAAAAGGUUUGCGACCUCGAUGUUGGACUAAAAUUUAGGCAAGGUGCAGCAGUUUUGCUUUAGGGUCUGUUCGACCCUUAAAAUUUUACACGAUCUGAGUUCAGACCGGCGUGAGCCAGGUUGGUUUCUAUCUUCUGGGACAGUUAAUUUAAUUUAGUACGAAAGGAUUAAUUAAUAGUAAAUUUUACUUUUUGAGAAUAUUAUUAACAGUGAAAUUAUAAAUUUUGUAAUAAAAACUAAUGUAAAACCUUGUUUCUUUUAUGAUAAAAUUCGGGAAUAAUAUUUUGGUGUUGAAAAAUUAA
rnacentral:rRNA from 1 species